GCCACCCGGCGCGAGCCCGCGCGUGGUUCCCAGCGAAGUCACCGGGCGGCUGGGCCCAUCGUGAGUAUUCUCCGCCCGCUGUCCUCCCCCUGCAGGCGGCAGCGCCCGUUUAUUUGAGGAGGAUGAGGCUCUCACUACUACAGUUGGGACUGUUUCAUACUCCGUGCUCUUGUGCUUAUGCCAGGGGGUACUGUCUAACCCACAAGUCUCUGCCAGGAAUGUUGCUGUCCACACUGGAGUGUAAGACACCUGCGGAGCUCGUCUAUGGGGCUCAUGUUGGCUGAGGCUCUGAACUACAGAAUUGCAAACAUCCAAGGGAGCGCCCCAGGCCCCCAGGCUUCUAAUGUGAGGAAAAACACGGAAUGACAAGUGUGGGAAAGAGCAAGCACUAAAUUACUGUCAGAAAAAUAAACGGAGUAGCACAGUGGUGCUCAGUGAUUUACGGGGGCAAUUAGUCACCACCCCACGGCGCUGCUGAGGACAGCACGGCAGCAGACGAGUCAGGCCCACGAGGAAGAAGAGUCUUUGCACUGCUCUCCAGACAACUUUUCAAACAACAAGAGAGGAUAUUUGAGCACAUUAGGUUUUGUGUCUUCAUUCUGGCCAUGUGAAGAUGUGCCUGCUUCGCCUUCCAUCAUGACAGAAGUUUCCUGAGGCCUCCCCAGCUAUGCUCCCUAUACAGCCUGCAGAACGGUCGGCUGCCUCCAAUCCUGAGGUCAUCACUCAUCAAGAGGGGAUAAUCCCAGGGACAGCAGGAUCUGCUUCGUUACUUGGAUUUAGGAGCCAGAAACCCAUCAGGCAACUAAACAGUAACAAUGACCCACCAUUAAACACACUGAGAGAAGAGCAUGAUGAGGAGUUUGUACAAGAAAAAGCCAGGAGCGCUUGCUGACAAUGCUUACAGAGAUGCAGACUUCUAUGAGCUCUGCCUGUUGAACUGCAGUAAAAAUAGAUCUCCUUCCCCAGAGAUGCUUGGAUGUUGGCACAAUAUCAGUUCAGAUGAUAGUCAAUGCAUGGACUUAAUAGAGUGAAAAGACUUUGGACUGUGAAGUCAGAUUACCUGGGUCUGAAUUCUACUUCUUCUACUUCUUUGUAGUAUGCUUUCACCACAUUAAAAAUUGUCUGAGCCUCAA
rnacentral:lncRNA from 1 species